rnacentral:sRNA from 1 species
GCCAGGUGUGGUGGUGCACACCUAUAAUUCCAGCUACUUGGGAGGCUGGGGCAGAAGGAUUGCAAAUUCAAGGCCAGCCUGGGUAACUUGGUGAGACCCUGUUUCAA